rnacentral:rRNA from 1 species
GAUGAACGCUGGCGGCGUGCCUAAUACAUGCAAGUCGAGCGAACGGACGAGAAGCUUGCUUCUCUGAUGUUAGCGGCGGACGGGUGAGUAACACGUGGAUAACCUACCUAUAAGACUGGGAUAACUUCGGGAAACCGGAGCUAAUACCGGAUGAUAUUUUGAACCGCAUGGUUCAAAAGUGAAAGACGGUCUUGCUGUCACUUAUAGAUGGAUCCGCGCUGCAUUAGCUAGUUGGUAAGGUAACGGCUUACCAAGGCAACGAUGCAUAGCCGACCUGAGAGGGUGAUCGGCCAAACUGGAACUGAGAAACGGUCCAGCCUCCUACGGGAGGCAGCAGUAGGGAAUCUUCCGCAAUGGGCGAAAGCCUGACGGAGCAACGCCGCGUGAGUGAUGAAGGUCUUCGGAUCGUAAAACUCUGUUAUUAGGGAAGAACAUAUGUGUAAGUAACUGUGCACAUCUUGACGGUACCUAAUCAGAAAGCCACGGCUAACUACGU